UACGUAGGGUGCAAGCGUUAAUCGGAAUUACUGGGCGUAAAGCGUGCGCAGGCGGUUGUGCAAGACAGAUGUGAAAUCCCCGGGCUCAACCUGGGAACUGCAUUUGUGACUGCACGGCUGGAGUGCGGCAGAGGGGGAUGGAAUUCCGCGUGUAGUAGUGAAAUGCGUAGAUAUGCGGAGGAACACCGAUGGCGAAGGCAAUCCCCUGGGCCUGCACUGACGCUCAUGCACGAAAGCGUGGGGAGCAAACAGG
rnacentral:rRNA from 1 species